rnacentral:tRNA from 1 species
GCCGGCAUAGCUUAAAUGGUAGAGCAACUGAUUUGUAAUCAGUAGAUUGAAGGUUCGACUCCUUUUGUCGGCA